rnacentral:rRNA from 1 species
GACGAACGCUGACGGCGUGCUUAACACAUGCAAGUCGAACGGUGAAGCGCCUUCCUUUUUGGUGGGUGUGGAUGAGUGGCGAACGGGUGAGUAACACGUGAGUAACCUGCCCCCUUCUUCUGGAUAACCGCAUGAAAGUGUGGCUAAUACGGGAUAUUCUGGGUCUGUCGCAUGAUGGGUCUGGGAAAGAUAUUGUUUCGGUGGGGGAUGGGCUCGCGGCCUAUCAGCUUGUUGGUGGGGUGAUGGCCUACCAAGGCGGUGACGGGUAGCCGGCCUGAGAGGGUGGACGGUCACACUGGGACUGAGACACGGCCCAGACUCCUACGGGAGGCAGCAGUGGGGAAUAUUGCACAAUGGGCGCAAGCCUGAUGCAGCGACGCCGCGUGAGGGAUGGAGGCCUUCGGGUUGUGAACCUCUUUCGCCAGUGAAGCAGGCCUGCCUCGUUUGUGGGUGGGUUGACGGUAGCUGGAUAAGAAGCGCCGGCUAACUACGU